GAACAUUGAGAGAAGCCACUCUGAAGAUGAACCUCAAAUUUAUUUCCAUGCCAUGGAAACCAACAUUUCCAGAAAUCAUAAUGCAAGUGUCAAGAAGCCAGGAACCAUGUCUAUUUUCUUCUCUACGAGUUCUAUUCAGUACCUAAUUCAAUGACUAAUGCAGAGCAGGAAUUUGACAGAUGCCUGUUGAAUGGAUGACAAUAGGGGAUUUUGGACAGUUGGAUUAAUUUUUCCAUUUAAGAUGAGCAUACUGAGGCACAGAGACAUUAAGUAACUAUGCUGAUUAGUAGUGACAGUGAUGUUGCCACCAAACUGGAAAGCCAGGAUUUGGACUCAGGCACGUGACACCACAGUUGUGUUCUUGAGUGCUCCACUGCACCAUCACUACAGGAAGUGGACUAGAUUCUCAUGGGCCUUCAGGAUGAUGAAGAAUUCUCGACGAUUUACAGUGGAAAAUCAGGAUUGCUGUGGUUUUCGCCUGCUCCUCCCUGUUCUUCCUUCUUUGUCGUUUAGACAAAUUCUAAACGACAGACCUUCAGCUCUCACAUGCUAGAACCUUGACGAAGAUUUAUAGCCUAUUCUCUGUAGAGUGCCCCUUUUCCUUCCUUUCUUAACUGGACUAUGAAUGGCUCUUAUCUACUUUUGUUCUUUUAUUUUUUUCACAUUUUACUCCAAUUUCCUAGAAUAAUUUCAUAAAUAAUUGGAAGCUGGUUUGG